GUACACUCCUGCGGGAGGCAGCAGUGGGGAAUUUUGGACAAUGGGCGAAAGCCUGAUCCAGCAAUGCCGCGUGAGUGAAGAAGGCCUUCGGGUUGUAAAGCUCUUUUGUCAGGGAAGAAACGGUGAGAGCUAAUAUCUCUUGCUAAUGACGGUACCUGAAGAAUAAGCACCGGCUAACUACGUGCCAGCAGCCGCGGUAAUACGUAGGGUGCAAGCGUUAAUCGGAAUUACUGGGCGUAAAGCGUGCGCAGGCGGUUUUGUAAGUCUGAUGUGAAAUCCCCGGGCUCAACCUGGGAAUUGCAUUGGAGACUGCAAGGCUAGAAUCUGGCAGAGGGGGGUAGAAUUCCACGUGUAGCAGUGAAAUGCGUAGAUAUGUGGAGGAACACCGAUGGCGAAGGCAGCCCCCUGGGUCAAGAUUGACGCUCAUGCACGAAAGCGUGGGGAGCAAACAGGAUUAGAAACCCCAGUAGUCCCAU
rnacentral:rRNA from 1 species